rnacentral:lncRNA from 1 species
GAAAGCGUUCAUAAUUUCAUCACAGAAGAGCAUUUUCCAGUGGUGCUCACAGAUUGCCUGUAAAAAAUAAUUCCUCCCUUGUAGACAGGCUUCUAUCUCAUGCCCUCGGCUUGCCGCUGGUUUAUCUGUGCAGGGAGAGACACCCAAAGGUGACCGUGAGCCCACUGUGUCUUUCAGAACCCAGAGUGAGUUACUGCAAACCUCAGGCCAUUGAAGUGACUAUUGGCUAGCUCAAAAGGCUGUGAAGAUGACCACCGUAUCUAUCCGAAUAAGUUUUUUCUUCUUUCUCAGUCUUGAAAUCAGGCAUGGUUAUUUUUAUUUUUGGUGUAUGCAGACUUAACCUAUGUGCCUAUAUUCACAAUGAACUCUUGAAUCGGGUCCUCCGUGUUUUUCUGGGGGGGGCAUUGAUUCCCCACUUGACCUGCUUUGUUGCUCAAAACUUUGUCGCUCAUCAUUGCUUUCCUGUCUGUUUAUUCUUGGUGUGGGGUUGUCAGGGAGAAAUGUUGGAAGGGAGAGAAGGGAGCAGGCAUCAUAGAUGGUAUUACGGGCUGCUGGUCUCUCCUCUCUCAGCCAACUAUGAGAUCUAUUUGGGAUUGAAGGAGAUAAGCCACAGCAAGUCGUUACUCGUCCUGAAUGCACACCCUUCUUUCUUUGAGCAAGAGGACAAACCUGGGUUAAGCUUGCCUGGCCCAAGCCACAGAGUCCUGGGAAGGAUGGAAGAGAGAGGAAGGGAGAGCACCGACGUCAUGGACCACCUUUCACAUCAGUGGCAGCAGCAGUAAAAUCCCCAGAAAGCCUGGAGUGGGCGUGAGGGUCUCUUUAGAUCAGCCCUGGAGGCAGCCGCCCAUGUCCCUCCUGGACAUUUGUUCACCUUCACAGAACCCACUUCUUUCCCGUGGUCUGUUCGGAUGUCUGUUUCCUGCACCAGGCAGGUAGCACAGCACACUCAGGGGUUUCUCUGACUCACCUUGGUAGCCCCAGCCCUCAGCACACUGCCUACCACUUAGUAUUUAGAGGACGUAUGCUCUUUGAAAAAAGUAGGUAAAUGGUAAAAUAUUAUUUUUACCAUUGGAACAAACACAAAUAUAUGCUUGAUGACAUUCAAACAGUACAAAUGCAAGAAAAAAAAGGCUUGUUAGGUGCAAAUAUUGGAAGAAAAGAGCUUGGGGUCAGAAGUGACCCCAGACAGAUGUGCUGGGAAAGAAGGGCUUUGCAGGGACCUCAGUGGCACAUAGGACCUAGACCCAGAGAUGGGGCCUUCUUGACAGGACGCCUCUGUCCGAGGGCAUUGGUUUUGCUCAUGUCUCUGUAACAUAUUUUAAAAAGGAUGCAAAGAAACCCCAACUUUUCUGGAAAAAGUGGAAAAAUAAUGAAGAGUGGUUGACCAGAAGGCUUAGGGCACUGGGCUGUGUUGCUGGAGAGUAAGAACCACUUGCCCUGCUACAAACCAAACUGGCUUUGAUCGUCUGCCCUUCUCUGUAGAGGACUGAGGAAGAGGAAAUAAGAAUUACAUGAAGAGCUUCCUAGCGAGCUUCCGGAAGAAAAUCUUAGUCCCCUACCCUGGGGAAUUUCGCCAAACAAGGGCAGAAAGUGGAUAAACAACAGGACGGUAGAGUAUCCCUUAUUCAUGGUGCUCGGGACCAGAAGAGUUUUGGAUUAUGGAUUUUUUGGAACAUUUCAGAUUUUCACAGCUUCAGGUACAGGGACGGGUUGAUGACAACCCCGCUCUGUCCCGUGAUUUGUGACAGACAUCUGUUUUCUUCCUUAUUCCAAUUGUAUCAUCUUGGAUUUUGGAAUAUUUGGAUUAUACUUAUCAGUUGAGCAUCACAAAUUCGAAAAUCCAAAAUCUGAAAUGCUCCAAAUAAGGAUUUCCUUUCAGCAUCAUGCUGGUGUUCAACAAGUUUGAAAUUUUGGAGCAUUUCAGAUGUCAGAUUUUCAGACUUGGGGUGCUCAACCUGUACAGGUUAUUCAGGCUCCUGAAUUCUGUGAUUGCUUUUUUUUUCUAGAGCAAAGUUCCAUAAAGAGCAGAUGGAGAAGUGUUGAUUAGCGAUCAAUUUCUUAGUUGAUAUUUAUCAGACACUUAACUCUGUGUCAGGUAUUGUUCUAAGGGCUUGUAAAAGCAUCAACUCAAUUUAUCCAGGCCUCAUACUGCCUACUCCAGCACGCACUGUUAUAUUAUUAGCUCAUUUUAUAGAUGAGGAGCCUGAGGAAUAGCAGUGUUGAAUCACUUGCCUGACAUUGUGUUUCUUGGGUACAAUUGUAGGUAUUAGACAGGGUUCUGAAACAGGGCAAGGAUGCAGUUGAAAUAAAGAAAGAAACAGAUGCCCGUCACAAGUCACUGGAUAGAGCUGAGCUUCUGUCAACACAACUUAAGUGUGUGCAUCUGGUACCUGUCAAGUUAGAGAAAUUGGUUGUUGUGCAACACGACCCCAUAAUCAAAAUAUUGUAUCAGAGUCCCUACUGGUAGCAGAUAUACAAACUUCUCUUGUCUCUUGUUCAAGAUGAAUUGUCUCCUAGCUUAUUCGAUUCAGUUUAGAGAUCAUGUGGUUCCAUGGACAGUCUCUGUUGGUGUUUCUUCUGGGGAAGUGCCUGCCUUGGUCCUGGACUUGAUACCACUAAAGCUGAUAAUGAGAACUGAGUAGGGUUCUAUUAGGUGAGAGCAAGGGUUCAGAUGGGAGCAUGCUAGGAAGCCCCCAUCUCUUCCAACACUUGCCUCAUCCAGCCUCAGCUGGAGUUGCAGAUGCACCUGCUGAUGCCACUCAAGCACCACCAGGUGUGGCCUGCAAGGCCCUGUCAGGGUUGGCUCUCGUUCCUGUCUUGCCAUCAUCGUCACACAGCCAUGCCCUGUGUUCAUCUGGCAGUGGCAGGCUGGCUGCAUUUCCAGGCUCAGCUAUGUCUCCUUUUGCCUCAUAGCCUCUGCGUGCAUGUGCUCCUGCCUGGAAUUUUCUUGCCCUGGUUAUUCCUGUGGCUGGCUCCCUGCCAUCCUCCGCUCUAUUCAGGUGUCACCUUCCUAGAGGUGCCUUUCCUUACAGCCCCUGAGUGAUGGCCUUUCCUCCCCAAGUCACACUCUACAUUUGCUUUAUUUUCUUCUUACCUUUUAUUGCAAUUUGAAAUUGUCAAGUUCACUGAUUUACUUGUUUAUGGUUUGUCACCUUUCACUAAAAUGUAGGCUCCAUGAAGGCAGAGCCUUACCUCUCCUAUUUACUGGUCUAUCUUCAAGCCCAGGAAUGGUAUUUUAUCAAUAAAUAUUUAAUGAAUUGACAGAUGAAUUGGUGAUGAAGGUUCUAGUUAAAAAACAAAAAAGGAAAGUGGUAUUUUGGUUAAAAAAAAAAAACAAAAACCUCUGAUUUGUAGCGUUGGCCAAUUUCCAUGGUGUAAAUAUUCUUAUCAUAGCCAUUAGUAGUUUCAAAUUUACACCACAGAAAUCAGACAACCCUAGAGUAUGCAUUAUUUUCUCUUUGUAUUAACAGUUGGGGCCUAUUAAACUAGCAGAUUUAGGCAAAAUGGUGAUGUGAGUUUAUCCAGGCUGGUGAGGAGUUAGAAGUUAAAGAUCAAUAGCCAGAUAUGAUGGAACAUGCUUGUCAUCCCAGCUACUUGGGAGGCUGAGGCACGAGAAUCGCUUGAGCCUGGGGGUAGAGGUUGCAGUGAGCUGAGAUGGUGCCACUGCACUCCAGCCUGGGUGACAGAGCAAGACUCCUUUCUGAAAAAUAAAUGAAAUGAAAUAAAUAAAUAGAAUAAAAAAUAAGUUAAAGAUCAAGAAUCGUCAAGAAAAACCAGUGUAAAGCAUUUCCUGUCAGGCUUUCUGUAAGCAUUUCAUGUAGAUGAUGUCUUCCAAUCUUCCCAAGACUCUAGGAGUGAGAUAUUAUCAUGCUCAUCUUACAGGUGAGUUACUGAGAUUCACAGAGGCUAGUAACAUGCAUAUCUUCACAUGGUUGGUUAGGAAUGAUACUGGGAUCUCUUUGGAAGCCUUGAUACUGGUCCAGUUGAUGAAAUACUCCCGGGUCUACCCAUAUUUAUAACAUUUUUAUGAGACCUAGAGGCUACAGGAGGCCUUCCUCCAACCUCCCUGGUAAAGCUAUGUGAUUUCAUUCCAUGCUCCAAUUCCAGGGUCCAUGAAAUUUCAGCUGGGAGGCAAAGUUCAUCCUGUUAGGCCACAGAGCGUGGUGGGAUGGUGGGUAGGUUUGGAAAUGCUGGGGUUGUGCUGUCUAGGUUUUAAGGUGAUUUCCCAUUUACAAGCUGGGUGGUGUUAGGUGAGAUUCUCAAUGGCUUGGCAGCCUCAGUUUUCUCAUUAGUUAUAUUAAGAUCAUAUUGGCUUCUCCCUCCUAGGAUUGGUGUGAGGAUGACAGAUGUGAUUGCGUAUAAAGUGAAUAGCAGUGCCUGUCCUAGACUAACUGCUCAAUACAUCUAAGCUAUUAUUUUUUUUAGAGAACAUGCUUUAUAGCUUUAUUGUGUUUUGGGGCUUUCAUCCUAACUGUAUUCUUUCUUCAAAACAAAAAAGUUGCCAAAUAAUUUUUUUUUUUCAUUUUUUUGUUUUGCAUCAAUAAACCUCAAGUGAACCUCUUUUCUUUUCAUAUAAACCAAGACCAAUCUCAGAGACAAACACCACUGUGGGAUACGCGUCACCAUCCAAAAGGAUUUAGAUCAUUUGGAAACUCUUUGGAAAGCUCUGUUGGAAAUACUGAGAUGUUGUGGGGCUGUCACUUUAACCCCUGAUUCUCAAGAGAAUCCGUGUGGGGAGUGUCCCUUCUAUGGAUUUGCAGUGGGUAGGGCCAUUACGUGGUCAGCAUAUCCGUUCUUCCUACAUUGCAAAACACAAGAUGCUCCUGUUAUCUCCGUCCUACCAGUGAAGAAGCAGAGGCUUGGUGAAGCAAUUUGCUCAAGAUUUCAUGACUGCACAGUAAAGGAAGAGCUGUGAUGUGAGAUCACGUGAAGCCCAUGCUUAGACCCAAGGCCCACAGUACAGAGCCUCUCUGUGAGAUAAAUGCUUGCUAGGUGCUUAAAAGGCUGAGGGAUUCAUGUGUUUGCCAGAUCUCUCUUUAGGUCCCAUGUCCAAUCCCAGAAAUAUGCAUUACUCUCUAGUGAUACCUUUUGUUGUUUGUUUUUAGUGGGUAAAGGAUUUUUUUUAAAAUAA